GACGAAGGGGGCUAGCGUUGUUCGGAAUUACUGGGCGUAAAGCGUGCGCAGGCGGCUAUGCAAGACAGAUGUGAAAUCCCCGGGCUCAACCUGGGAACUGCAUUUGUGACUGCAUGGCUGGAGUACGGCAGAGGGGGAUGGAAUUCCGCGUGUAGCAGUGAAAUGCGUAGAUAUGCGGAGGAACACCGAUGGCGAAGGCAAUCCCCUGGGCCUGUACUGACGCUCAUGCACGAAAGCGUGGGGAGCAAACAGG
rnacentral:rRNA from 1 species